AGACUAAAGAAAAAGAAUGUGAAGGUCACCCCACUGAUCUCCAGGGCUGAUUUGGCUGGUCUGGCUGGCUAGACGGGUAUCCCCUUUCUCCCUCACCACUCUAUGUGAGUCCCUCCCAAAGCUGCAUGCUCAGUCAAAACGAACUAUUUCCUUAGUCAAGCUGCCAGACCCUCCAAAUAAGUGCUCAAAAUUUUAAAAAGGGGGAAGUCCAGGCACACUAUUCUGGCUCUGGAACGAGGCAUGGUGGCACAUGCCUGUAAUCCCAGUACUUGGGAGGUUAAGACAG
rnacentral:sRNA from 1 species